UUUCUUGCGUAGCUCGGCCCAGUUGCCUGGCUCGCUACUAGCCACUGCUCCUCUUCCCUCCUCCAUUCCCUUUUCUCCGCAUCCGCAUCCAAUCUCAGAUCGACUCCUGCAAAAUCAACAACCGCCACCUACCACCGCUAAUGGCCGCCUCCGCCUGCAACCGCCGCUUCAAGAUUUUCGCGGCCGCUGACGGCUUCGGCUUGCCGCUCAAGGACGCUAUCGUUGCGCACCUCCGCGCCCACUCCUCCGUGGCCGAUGUCGUCGACCUCGGCGUCGACAAGUACUACUCCGCUGCCGCACUCGUCGCCCGCAACGUCACCUCCUCAUCGUCCGACCCCGCCCUCGAAGCCCGCGGCGUCCUGGUCUGCGGCACUGGCGCCGGCGUCACCAUAUUCGCCAACAAGUACCCCGGCGUGUACGCCACUCACUGCAGCUCCGUCGCCGACGCCGUCAACACCCGCUCCAUCAACGCCUGCAACGUCCUCGCCCUCUCCGGCACGGCGACCCCGCCCGACACCGCCGCCGCCAUCGCCGACGCCUGGCUCGCCACCCCAUUCCGUGCUCCCUGCCCCGCAUCCGGGGACGCGCCCUGGCCGGAGGACAUUCAGCAGUUCUUCGAUGUUGCCUCUCAAGAGAUGGCAUCCAUCCCCGAGGGAUCUGGAUCAGCCCCGGCCCCUGACUCCACCUGUGCCAUCUGCUGCCUGAGGAAAGGGAUGGAGUUUGAACCGGUGGAUAUCAUGCCAGGCGGCGAGAUGCGAAUUGUGCGACAGAGUCCCACUUCGGCCUACGUCCGCUUCAAAGCUGGAAGUGUGGAGCCGGCUCACCACCACACUUUCGGCCACGAUUUGGUGGUCAUCAAAGGCAAGAAGAAGGUGUGGAACUUAACCAAGAAAGAAAACUACCACCUGGUUGAUGGGGAUUUCCUGUUCACGCCUGCUGGGGACGUGCACCGUGUGAAGUACUUGGAAGACACAGAGUUCUUCAUCCGGUGGGAUGGCCACUGGGACAUAUUCCUCGACGAAGACCUGGGAACUGCGCGCAAUGCCAUUGAUGCUGAGCUCGGUGUGGUUGACAGUGACAAGUGAUGAUGUCGUGCUGAUGCGUGUCCAUGUGUUAUCUUGAUGAGGCUCAUGAAGUGACGAUGAGCCCCUGAAGAAAUCAUUAUAGCAGUUAGGAGCGAGCUAAAUCUGGAUUUAAAGAAUAUCAGAACAGAUAAAGCCAAGUUUUGGAAGGAGCAUCCAUCACCUGUAAAUGUUAGUCUUUGUUGCUGCAUAUUAUGGUACUAUAUAUACUCCAUUUUUUCUAGAUGGAACUCUCCAUUCAAGCUCAUCUUACUUGAAAGUCGUUCGUUUUAUCACCAGCACUAGUAAAACAUUACAGGCACAUGCUUGAACGUGCACCGCGUCUUUUUCUCUGAAUUUUUGUCCUUGUAAACGUGGAGUCAGACAUGUGCGUGUUGAUGAAGCAAUCUCUGGGAAGGAGGUGGUGUACCUACUGUGUGUGCAACAUCUGAUGCUGGUGUACCUUCGACAAGUUUACCCCUGUGGUUAUGUACGUAGUGUGUGAGCUGCUUGUGCCUUGCAAGCAGGAAAAUGGAGAAGUUCGGCUACGCUUUACAUUUUAGUUUCAAUUCAGCUGCAUUUGAAAGAUUGCG